rnacentral:rRNA from 1 species
CCCUUAGAUGUUCGGGGCCGCACGCGCGCUACACUGAAGGAAUCGGCACGUCUUUCUCCUUGUCCGAAAGGACUGGGUAACCCGCUGAACCUCCUUCGUGCUAGGGAUUGGGGCUUGUAAUUCUUCCCCAUGAACGAGGAAUUCCCAGUAAGCGCGAGUCAUAAGCUCGCGUUGAUUACGUCCCUGCCCUUUGUACACACCGCCCGUCGCUACUACCGAUUGGAUGGUUUAGUGAGAUCCUCGGAUUGGUCCCGGCGCGGCCUCUGGUCGUGCCGGAGUGCCGAAAAGAAUGUCGAACUUGAUCAUCUAGAGGAAGUAAAAGUCGUAACA